GUAGGUGGCAAGCGUUGUCCGGAAUUAUUGGGCGUAAAGCGCGCGCAGGCGGUUCUUUAAGUCUGAUGUGAAAGCCCACGGCUCAACCGUGGAGGGUCAUUGGAAACUGGAGAACUUGAGUACAGAAGAGGAAAGCGGAAUUCCACGUGUAGCGGUGAAAUGCGUAGAGAUGUGGAGGAACACCAGUGGCGAAGGCGGCUUUUCUGGUCUGUAACUGACGCUGAGGCGCGAAAGCGUGGGGAGCAAACAGGGAUUAGAUACCCUGGUAGUCCACGCCGUAAACGAUGAGUGCUAAGUGUAGGGGGUUUCCGCCCCCUUAGUGCUGCAGCUAACGCAUUAAGCAUCCGCCUGGGGAUACGGCCGCAAGGCUG
rnacentral:rRNA from 1 species